rnacentral:misc_RNA from 1 species
AGAAAAAGGUAUAAUAUCUAAAUUUCUUCAGGCCUUCUUACGCUGCUUUUUAUCUAAUUUUAAUGAUAGCAAUGAAGAGUAAAAGAAGAUUCCGGUUUGUAGCUCACCCAUAAUUAAAAAGCAGUGAAAACAAGCUCAGGGAAUUUAAUACUGUAUCUCCUUUAUUUAAUUUAUUAAUUAUAUUUAAUUUAUGAAUAAAAAAAAUGGAUAAAAUUCAGUUAUUAAAUUUUUAAUUAAAAUUAAAUAAAAAGUAUAAGAAGAAAGGGAGGAAAUUGUAAAAUUAUUAUUAUUAAUAAAUUUUAAGAAAAAUAAUGAUUAGGUGACAACUAAAUCUUAAUAGAGAAAAAGAGGCAACCACCCAUGGCCAAUUUGCAAUUGACAACUGUGAUGAACAGCAUGCCAGCCUGUAGUUUUGGAUAUGAGACCUUUUUAUAGUUAUUAAUUCCUCUCUUUUUUAAAUUUUUAUCUCUCUAAUCACAUUAUCACCUUUGGAAUUAGGACAGCUUAUUCAAUCCUCUACUCAGCUCUUAGCUCAAAUAUUUUUUUUUUAUUCAUUCUAAUUUUUAUUAUUAUUAUAUAUAAAAAUUAAAUAAAUUCAACCGAAUUUAAAUAGUGUUUUCUUUAUUCUAAUUAGAAUUUAAAUUUUAUAAAUUUAAACAUAACUGUAGUAAUGUUGAAUAAUAUUAAUUUAAUUUAAAGUAAUUUAAAUAAAAAAAAAUCAAUAUAAAUGAAGCACUCAAUACUUGAUUUACAGGGGCUUAAUUAACUGUGGUGGUGCAGGACUAUGGAGUAACUCUG